rnacentral:rRNA from 1 species
AUUGAACGCUGGCGGCAGGCCUAACACAUGCAAGUCGAACGAGUGGCGGACGGGUGAGUAAUGUCUGGGAAACUGCCUGAUGGAGGGGGAUAACUACUGGAAACGGUAGCUAAUACCGCAUACCAUCAGAUGUGCCCAGAUGGGAUUAGCUUGUUGGUGGGGUAAGGGCUCACCAAGGCGCCGAUCCCUAGCUGGUCUGAGAGGAUUACCAGCCACCCUGGAACUGAGACACGGUCCAGACUCCUACGGUGGGCAGCAGUGGGGAAUAUUGCACAACGGGCGCAAGCCUGAUGCAGCCAUGCCGCGUCUAUGAAGAAGGCCUUCGGGUUGUAAAGUACUUUCAGCGGGGAGGCGUUACCCUCAGAAGAAGCACCGGCUAACUCCGUGCCAGCAGCCGCGGUAAUUC